UACGUAGGGUGCUAGCGUUGUCCGGAUUUAUUGGGCGUAAAGAGCGUGUAGGCGGUCAGGUAGGUCUGGUGUGAAAACUCGAGGCUUAACCUCGAGAUGUCAUCGGAAACCAUCUGGCUAGAGUCCGGUAGGGGAGUGUGGAAUUCCCGGUGUAGCGGUGGAAUGCGCAGAUAUCGGGAGGAACACCAGUGGCGAAGGCGGCACUCUGGGCCGGUACUGACGCUGAGACGCGAAAGCGUGGGGAGCGAACAGG
rnacentral:rRNA from 1 species